GGCCUACCAUGGUGGUAACGGGUAACGGGGUGUUAGGGCACGACACCGGAGAGGGAGCCUGAGAAACGGCUACCACAUCCAAGGAUGGCAGCAGGCGCGCAAAUUACCCAAUCCCGACACGGGGAGGUAGUGACAAUAAAUAACAAUACGGGGUUCUUUAGGAUCUCGUAAUUGGAAUGAGUACAAUUUAAAUCUCUUAACGAGGAACAAUUGGAGGGCAAGUCUGGUGCCAGCAGCCGCGGUAAUUCCAGCUCCAAUAGCGUAUAUUAAAGUUGUUGCAGUUAAAAAGCUCGUAGUUGAAUUUCGGGGUUAGUAGGUUGGUCAUGCCUCUGGUAUGUACUGAUCUCACUGAUUCCUCCUUCCUUAUGAACCGUAAUGCCAUUAAUUUGGUGUUGCGGGGAAUUUGGACUGUUACUUUGAAAAAAUUAGAGUGUUUAAAGCAGGCUAACGCUUGAAUACAUUAGCAUGGAAUAAUGAAAUAGGACGUUCGAUCUUAUUUUGUUGGUUUCUAGGAUUGACGUAAUGAUUAAUAGGGAUAGUUGGGGGCAUUAGUAUUCAAUUGUCAGAGGUGAAAUUCUUGGAUUUAUUGAAGACUAACUACUGCGAAAGCAUUUGCCAAGGAUGUUUUCAUUAAUCAAGAACGAAAGUUAGGGGAUCGAAGACGAUCAGAUACCGUCGUAGUCUUAACCAUAAACUAUGCCGACUAGGGAUCGGAUGAUGUUAAUUUUUUAAUGACUCAUUCGGCGCCUUACG
rnacentral:rRNA from 1 species